UACGUAGGGUGCAAGCGUUAAUCGGAAUUACUGGGCGUAAAGCGUGCGCAGGCGGUUUUGUAAGUUUGUUGUGAAAGCCCCGGGCUCAACCUGGGAAUUGCGAUGAAGACUGCAAGGCUUGAAUCUGGCAGAGGGGGGUAGAAUUCCACGUGUAGCAGUGAAAUGCGUAGAGAUGUGGAGGAACACCGAUGGCGAAGGCAGCCCCCUGGGUCAAUAUUGACGCUCAUGCACGAAAGCGUGGGGAGCAAACAGG
rnacentral:rRNA from 1 species